rnacentral:lncRNA from 1 species
UUUUUGCUGUUUGCUCUCUGUGUUCUGCCUUUGGCCCACCAUUUAGGUAAAAGCCAGGAGACGAAGGAAGGAAAUGAGCAAACUCACUACUGUGUUGCUCCUUCUUCAAGUUUUGACUUCCUUCCGCAAAUCCCCUGCUCUUGUUUACUUUUCAGAGUCCUCGGGUAUUUUGUAUUCUGUCCAGAGUCUUUAGCCGUAAUUAAUGGGACGAAUAAGCUAAAGUGGGCUCACUCCAUCUUUGCUGGCAUCUGAAGCUUGGGAUUUGUUUUGAAUCAGCCUUCAACCCAGCCACACUACCCAGUACCUGCUGGUUCCCCGGCUCCUUCCUCUCCUCUUUACCUUCCACUGUGAUGAAGCGGCCCAUUGACUUCUAGGCACUUGACUUAUCUGCUUAGUGUCUUGGCCUUCGCUGGCAUUCUCCCUCCUGUGGGACAGCUCUUCAAACUCCCUCUCCAGGUAACACAUCUCUCUUGGUUUGUCCCUAGGACCCCCGAUGCCUGUGAACAAGUGCUGCCCUGCUUUGCUCUGCGGACACCACUUUCUUCUGGUCCUGGCCAGGACUAGCUGAACUUCACUUUUCUGGACCUUUUGUUAUGUUCCAGGAGAGCCCAUCGUGAGUCAGACUUAGUGGCCAUAAAAGACGAGACAGGACAGGGUGAGGGCUAAGGGAACGAACCCGGACAUCGAGGUGGCUCAAAGUGCACUGGAGCAGCAGAACAGAAAGAACGUCAGCGGAACAGAAAGGAGUCCCUGCUUUCAGAGGUGGCACAAAGCUCCAGAAUCACCACGGGCUUUGUGCUGGGUCAGCUGGCACCCACCUGGCAGGUUUUAGGAAGAACAAGAGCGUUCGUUUGAAUAGAUGGUCUGAGAAGCAAGCUCCUAGAUGGAGCAUCAAGUGGAACGCCCAUCCCACAGGUGGAUUUCUCUCUCUCUCUCUCUCUCUGUUUCUCUCUCUCUUUCCUGAACAUGAAUUCCCCUCUGGUUUCUGCUGCUUCUUUGACUCUUAUCUUGUGUUACAUGUGUUUUUUUCUCUAAGUAUGUGGAUAGCCUUCUCAACUAGGUUGGACCUUUGUGUUAGUUCCGUUGCUGCCAAGCGACUCCAAAAUGUAGCAACUUAAUAAGUAUUUGUUAUCUCGCUUGGUCACUGAGGGUCAGAAAUCUGCGAGCAGCUUAACGCAGGGGUCUGGCCCAGGCCUCUCCCGAGGUCGCAGUCAAGCUGUCAGCCAAGACUGACUGCUGUCAUCUGAAGGCUGGACUGGGGCUGGAGAAUCAGCUUCCAUGCUCACUCCCCUGGCUGCGGCAGGAACCUUUAGUUCCUAAGUUCCUCUCUGUGCCUCACCAUGUGGGACUCUCCACAGGGCAGCAUGGCAGCAGGCUUCCAUGAGUGAGCAAUCCAAGAGACAGCAAGACAGAAGCCAACGUCUUUAAUAACCUAGAUUCUGAGUGGCACACCAUCGCUUUGGUCCUAUACUGUUGGCCACACAGACCGACCCUGAUACAAUGUGGGAGGGAUCCACACAAGGAAGCAGGCACCAGGAAACAGCAUUAUUGAGAGCCAUCUCAAAGGCUGCCUGGCUACCAUGAGCCUCCUCUGAGAGACGGCUGCUUCGGACACAUCUUUUCACUGCCAAUAUUUGACACAGGUCUGGUCAGGUAGGAGGUGCCCAAUGAGGUUUGUUGAUGAUGAAGAGAUGUUGGGCACUCACCAUAAGCUGGAAUUAAAUGAAAAGUCCUCCUGAGGAUGAGGCAUAAUCAGAAAUAUUUCUUAAUAGACAUAAUUAAUACUGCAGAAUAUUUUUCUGAUUUUCAAUUGUUUUCAUUUAUAUUAAUAAAGUAAGGCUUGGGCCUAAGUAGGAUAAAAUU